CUGAAAACUGCUUGUCUCAUCUGGGUUACUUGUUUGGUAUCUUGUGAGUAAUUUCUACAAUAAAUACUUAGUUUUACUUCCAGUAAAUGUCGCUUAUCGUUACAGCGUCCUUUGGAGCCUACAGGGAAGCUCCUGGAAGCUUGUGGUAUGUUAGCCAGUCCGCAAUACAAUUUUCUUUUUAAAAAAGUCUUGGUUUGGGUUUUAUUGCUGUGAAUAGGCAUAAUGACCAUGGAAACUCUUAAAGAGGAAAACAUUUAAUUGGGAUGAGCUUACAGUUCACACUUCUACAUGAAUGACUUCACCAUAUUAACUGGGUGCAUGGCAAUGAGAAGAAGGACACUGUACUCACAGUUAAAUUAGUUGAAGAUGCUUAAGGUAUAUCACACGGUUGCACUCCAUAACAGAAACCAGGGGUGGGUUAAAUCUUGCUAAGCUCUCCCAAUGAACCUAGGAAGAAUCUGGACACUCACUUCUUUCCCUUCUUUCUUGGCAGAUCUAAGUCAUUGCGUGACACUCUUAUAACCAAUCUAAUGUGAAGUCUUUUGGGAAACCUCUGGCAAAACUUUUUUCUUUGUUGAUUAAAAGAGAGUACCAUCAUAAGGAAGGUAUUUUUUUUUCACCAUCAUUCCAUUGCCCACUUUCUGCCUUGAUGCCAUUUGGAGUAACAGCAGCCAUGUUGUGGUAAUGGGGAAGAUGCAUGGGUAGAAAAUUAUCAACAACAAACACAGCAGACAUAAAAGGCCUGGUGAGACCAGGGAGUACCUGAGCCAAUGCUGGAAGCUACCUGAUUGUACACUGUUUCAGUAUCUCUUAAGUGAUAUUCUUUAAAAUCUUCUAUUGAAGUUGUUCACAAAUAAAUACAUAGUUUUGUAAAUAUCCUGUUCCUUUAGUAGAGCGUGUGUCUUCCAUAAGCAACUGCUGGAAGGCUCUUCACUGGCUGGCACAGGUACAUCUGACAAACCCCCCAAUAUGGUUCCACCUUCCCUCUAGGCCAGCAUGUAGCAAUGGCCCUGUACAGCUUUAGACGUCUGUCCCCAGAGCAUGUCUGAAUACACACCUGCAUCUGGUUCCCAGCACAGAGCAUGGUAUGCAAAGCUGUUGGAGAAUAUGUAGGAUGGAUGAAAAGCACAGCACUGACACUUUCCUCAGCAACAUAAACUUACUUCACUCCUUUUCCUUUCGCACUUGAAUUUUAAUGGAAACACCCAUCAUGAGUUGUUUUAAAAGGACUUGAAAAAAAAACUUCAAAAGAUUAAGCAAGGUGUGGUGAUCCACACCUGUAAAUCUUAGUUGUCAGGAGGUAGAAUCAGAAGGAUCCCAAGUCAGAGGCUAGGCUGGGCUACAAAGCAAGACUCUCUCAUAUAUGAAAGCAGAAAGCAGGGAAUAAUAUUGAUGACUAACACCUGGUAAAUUAGGAGCUAGACAGAUGCCUAAGUCAGCAAAGUUCUUGUUUAACAAGCAUGAGGACCUAAGUUCAGAUUCUCAUAUGCAACAUAAAAAUGCUUGUUAUGGUGGCACACACCAGCAAUAUCAGCGCUUGGGAGGUAGAGACAGACAGAUCCCUGGGGCUCCAUGACCAGCAAGCCUACUUAAAUCAAAGAGUUCCAGGUUGGUGAGAGAUCCUCCCCACCCCCAAAGGUGGAUGCCACCUGAGGAAUGACACCUGAGGUUGACCUCUGACCCCUACGCCCAUGCUGACAUGGGAGCACAUGCACACAUACACACAAAGUAAUUGGAUCCUAAGAGGCUAAGAUUGGUCUCUGCCAGGAGAUGACAAGAUCUAGUUGGUUGUUAUAGCACAAGACAUAAAAGUCAAAGGUUGCAGCUUCGUGGGUUCAAGUCACAGCUUCACCACUUACUUCUUAGAUGCUCAUCAGGCUACUACUGGAUUCAGCUCUUACUGGGUACCAGACUCCAUGUUUAAUGUUUUCUAACAGCCAUUAAGACUUGCAAAAUACCGGCAAUCCGAAGACCACCACAGUUCAUCUUCACAAUAAAUAAACCUAAUGAGAUAACAGGACAGGUGUCUUUCUAUAUCACAGCAAUGUAAACUUCAGCCAGAUGAACAAAAUUCAGAUGAAGACUCCAUGCCAAAAGAAAUAGAACUUCAUAUUUGUUUCCACGGUCUACUUCUACUUGGAAGGUUUCUUUCCUCACAAGAAAUGUGUGUCAAAGGAUAGAAAAGUGGCUUUCUGUUUGGGGCUACAACCAGAAAUCAAAAGACAACGGGGGGGGGGGACCUCAGCUCAGCUUUUCUAGAUUGGAAAUAAUGUGUGAAUUUUGCUGUUUCUCCAGUGUGUCAGACUGGUUCUGACGUAACACUUAAUUCAGGCUCCCAGUGAAUCACUAUUUCUUUGUGGGAUACUAACACUGAUGCAAAAUUUCUCCAUGUGAGGAAUGGGAAAUAAUUGAAACACGACAAAGACUCCAAGGUUGGUAAAUAAAAUAAUUUUGUCUGAACUCCACUAAUUCCCCCCAACCUGUGAGAGGUCCUAUGGGCUACAGCAAUGCAUCAGUUAGCUAGCCCCUUCAGGUGCCUCAUGAAAAACAAACAAAAACUGACGUUGCUGUCUGAGACUUCCUGUGUGAUUUGUCUAACACUUUGCAUUCAUGACGGUUUUGCCCUUCUUUAAUAAAUGACCCAAAAUUUCCUUCAGAUGUUCCAGAAAACUUUUUAGUUGGCUGGAAGAAAAUGUAAGCGCUAAUAAGUUCACUGCACGGAUGUCCAAGGCAUCCAUUUGAAUGAACCUACUGUGCCAGGCAAGUUGGUGUCUCUAGACUUCCCAUUCCAACGAUGAACAGCAUUGAUGACUUUCUACAAAGUGCAUCCUGUAAAACUUUUAUCUACAAAGGUUGUAUACCAGGCUUGUCUUAUGAAGGUCCAGAAUAAAGGCAGGUGUGAGCAACAACAUCCCAUGCCUUCAUGGAAUUCAGUCUGUACCAGGAAGACAGACAUCAAGCUAGAAAUCAUCAAUAAGACUUGAGGAGCAUAUGGAGAGAAUUAACCACUGCUAUGGGUUUAACCUAGGCAUCUGAAAGCUCCCCCUCUCCUCCCUGAAGAAGUGGAGACCGCUGAAAGAUACUCAAGACAAUGCCAAGACAAGAGGAGGCAUGCCCCACAGAUCUCACAAUGAAGCCAUUGGCUGACCUGGAACUCUGCUAUGUAGACCAGGCUAGGUUCAAACUCUGAGAUCGGCCUGCCUUGCCCCCUGAGUACUGCAGCAAAAAAGGAACAAGCCAUCAUACCCAACUAAGCAUUUGGAUUUGAAGAAGGAAGCAUAAACAUGGAGUAAAGUGUCACUCCAUGUCAGCUAGACCAGAAGUGACAGAGCAAGUGAAGAAGAAGGUCUGGGUUACCUUAAUGCUUUAAAGAAGCAACUGGCUUCAUCUGAAAUUUAUAGCCACGGAUCUCAAAAGGGGGUUCAGUAGCACUCGUCAAGACCAUGGAGUCAAUAUGGAACUUUGAAUGCCCCACUUUCUCCAGAACAGCUAAUCCAUGGAUGAACCUAGGCAAUCUCACAGGCCUUACAAGGCACUCUACUGAGUGAAAAAAACCAACAAGUGACCCAGAGGACAGCUACCUUAAAGAGUGGAUUACAAGAUGAAAUUGUUUGGCAUGUUUGUUAGGACUGUUCUUAAGGUCGACAUCUGAAGAGGCAGGAUUGGGCAGCGGACAAGAGCUGUGCUAUAGAACCAGGAGUAGGCUCAGUCACCCCACAAGCUGUGACAACUUGGACCAUCUCAGGAGGUCAAAACGAUAGGCGAAUAACAUAAUGACUGGGAUAUAGCGAAUCCACAAGAAGGAGCUAACCUCAAGUCUCAGUCAUGCCUCUCAUAAGACCUACUCUGCUUUUCUCCUUCUCUAAGGAAAAACACACAUUGUAAAAUUAGAAUGCUUCAAAGACAACUUGGAGCCAUCUGGGGAUUCUAAAGGUUGAAAAUUCCAUGAUUCACACUAGUCUUCACUAAUUCCACCAAUCCUAAGUCAAAAGAGAGAGCCAAGUGUGCCCAAACACAUUUUUGAGGAUUUCUUCCAUUCUCUCCUUGCAGCCUCUCUGGGGGUAGCUGUGCCUGUGAAAAGCAUUGAGAAUCUCAGAAGGAGAGUCACCUUUCAGGACGGGAAAGUCAGAACAGACUAUUUUUCUUAUACCAGAGGGCUUAAGGGGAAAAUAUUCCAGCUCUUCUUGAAGCUGAGCAGGGGUAGGGACACUGAUAACUGAUACAGAUAAUGGACACUGACACUUUGAAGAAAUAACUACCGAGAGAUGAAAAAUAAAAAUAAAAGUAAAGCAAAAAAGUGAACGUAAAGCUGAAUAGAAGAAGUACCCACCCAACUAAGCUGUUGGCCAGCAAUGAUACAUUGCACUCUAGAAAGAUUGGAGGUUAUGGGGUUGCAGUACAUUGUGGGCACUUUCUUGUAAAAAAGUGAGCCCUUCCUCCAAACAUUACAACUACUGCAUAUAAGUAUAAGAAAUGGCUUCAGAAGGAAGCAUGAAGUAACUUAGGGUAUUUCCAGUGGGUUAUACUGAGAUGGUUAUGAAAUUAUUUGUAGAGAAAUCGUUACCCUUGCAAGUGUUUAGGGAUAAUAUGUGAAUAACCAGGAGGUAUCUUUGGUUGUCACUAAGCCAUUAGAUAAUAUGAAACUGGACAUGGGACCAAAGAAAUACUGACCACUAGAAUGCAAACUCCAAAAAAAUCAAAAGAUUGUGUGUGUGUGUGUGUGUGUGUGUGCGUGCGUGUUUUAUUUGCUGUUUCAAUACCAGCUCUGAGGAAAUGCUUAUUAUUAGUAAGUCCUUCGUGAGAAAGAUUCUUGACUGGGCAUUUUCCUAUGCUCAUUCUGAAUGAAGUGUUAAUGGCUCUGAAGGUACAAAUAAAAAGUAACAAUUCCAUUUUGUAUCACAUUGCUCACCUUGGUUCUCCAUUCUGUGAGUGUGAGAGCUGUUUCAGCAUGGCCAAGUGUAGAAAGAUGGUCCCAGUGAACAUAAGAGCACACCAUUUGUUCAAACAUAUCUGUUUCUUUGUUAAUUUUAAUGUUUUCUGGGAAAACCAAAUUGCUCUUUUGAUUCCCAUUAGGAUAAUAUUGAAGAAUUUGCUUUUCAAAUAAGUUUUGUUAUGAGUCAGUGAACUAAGAUAUUUUAAUUAUAAUUCAAAUGAAACACACAUAUUAACAAAUCAACAAAAAAAAUUUCUAUCUGAGAAAGAGUCAUCCCUAUUGGUGUUCCUCAAACCCAAUUGUGACUAACAUUUUCAAAGGUGCUGGGUUAGCUCCAAAAAUGCAUUUCAUUCAACUGGAGGCCCUUUUGGUAAUGCAUAUCCUUCUUUGUGCAUUCAAGAAACAUCCUUGCUCUGUUCCUCACCAUAGACACAAACUUACACUGAAGAACUCACCUAUGGUAAACAAUUGGAAAAAUGCACAGGAAGCCUGCAACAGCAAUUUGUUAUCACAGACCUCGAUUAUCCUGAAUGGAACCCAAACAGCAUAAUACGCUCUUUCCAAACAUCAAUGCCAUAAAAAUGAAACACGUAUUGAAAACUAUCAGUUUUACUCUUACCAUACACAGCAUACACUACAAACAAAUCAUAAAACCCCAAACUAUAAAACUUUAUGAACUUGAGCAGGAAAGACAUCUGAGGACCCAAACUAAUAAAAAUAGAUUUAAUGGCUGGUUAAAGUACAUGCUUCACAAACACAAGGGCAGGAGUUCAGAUGCCAAGAACCCACGUAUUUCGAGAGAUGGCUCGGAGGCUAAAAGCACUGACUGGUCUUGCAGAUGACUUGGGUUCAGUUCCCAGCACCCACAUUGUGGCUCACAAAAACCUAUCUAAAUAUCAAGUGAGUAUGGCAGCCACCUUUAAUUCCAGACUUAGAAGGCAGCAUAGGGGUCCCAGAGAAAGCUUGUUAGAGAAAUUAGCCAUGUGAGGCAAGCUUGGAGAUUGACUGAGACCCUAAUGUUCAACAUCGUUAGCCAUGAAGGAUCAUGAGUCAAAACUACCUGGGUUGUUUCCAGUUUCUGUUUUCAUGUAUCUGCUGCUGCUAAACAGGCAGUCUACUGAUUUCUGUGUGCCAACUUCACAUAUUCUAUUUUGCAGAGUGUAUUUAACAGCUGAAGGAAAUUUCUGGUGAAGUCUUUAGGGUUUUUAUUUAUAGACCUGUAUCCUCUGCAAAUAAGGAUAUAUUGAUUUCUUACUUGUAUCCCUCUCUCUCCCUCACUUGUCUUCUCUUUCUAGCUAAGACUUUAAACACUGUAUUAGCUAAAAGGAGAGGAAAGAGUGGACAUCCUUUUCUUGUUUUUGAUUUUAAUGGAAAUUCUUUGAGGUCUUUCUCCAUGAUGUUGGCUGGGGCUUUUGUAUACUGUCUUUAUUGUGUUGAGAUAUGUCUUCUGUAUUCCCAUUAUCCCCAGGAUUUUUAUUAUAAAGAGAUUGUGAAUUU